CCACGGGAGGCAGCAGUCGGGAAUUUUGGGCAAUGGGCGAAAGCCUGACCCAGCAACGCCGCGUGAAGGAUGAAAUCCCUCGGGAUGUAAACUUCGCAAGAACGGGAAGAAUAAGUGAGAGUUAAUAUCUCUUACGAUGACGGUACUGUUUGUAAGCUCCGGCUAACUCCGUGCCAGCAGCCGCGGUAAU
rnacentral:rRNA from 1 species